rnacentral:lncRNA from 1 species
UGGUGGAUACCAUGGUAUUCAUGUGAAUCACAUAAAAAGAGUGAAAAGCCACCACCCUUGCUGGUUGGCUAAUCUUGAAUGUUGAACUGAGGAGUCUUUGCCAGGUUAGGUUAGAAGGAUCAGAUCAGGGCUUGAAUUGUACACCAGCAAAUAGGUGCUAAGAAUCAACAUUUAUGGAUCAUUUAUCUUGGUUAAAGAUAUUGUACCCUAGCAAAAAUGUAACAUAUUUGUAUAGCUUCAACUCAUCUGCAAUUCUAACUGCAAACAUCUGAAGAAACAAAAAGCACAGUUUG